GAUGAACGCUAGCGGCAGGCCUAAUACAUGCAAGACGAACGGUAAGUUGGGUAGCAAUACUUAGCCAAGAGUGUCGUACGGGUGCGUAACACGUAUGCAACCUACCCUAUACAGGAGGAUAGCCUAGGGAAACCUGGAUUAACCCUUCAUAGUAUUAUUGGAUGGCAUCAUUUGAUAAUUAAAACUGAGGUGGUAUAGGAUGGGCAUGCGUCUGAUUAGUUAGUUGGCGGGGUAAUGGCCCACCAAGACGAUGAUCAGUAGGGGUUCUGAGAGGAAGAUCCCCCCACACUGGCACUGAGAUACGGGCCAGACUCCUACGGGAGGCAGCAGUA
rnacentral:rRNA from 1 species